rnacentral:tRNA from 1 species
GGAGAGGUGGCCGAGCGGCUUAAGGCGCUAGUCUCGAAAACUAGUAUGCGAGCAAUCGCAUCGCGGGUUCGAAUCCCGCCCUCUCCGCCA